rnacentral:lncRNA from 1 species
UAUAGGAUACUACUUCUAUAAUCCUACUUAACAAAAAGUGUUUGUUGGUAAGCAUACCAUUUUUUUGGAGAAAGAGUUUGUCCAAGAAAGAGAUAGUAGGAGGUCUGUUGAACUUGAGGAAGUUCAAAACCUACAAUCUAUCUAAAACUCACCAAAUGGAUUGCAACCAAAUGUACUCAUUGUUGAGGCAUAGCCACUACACAUACCUCCUCUGCAA